rfam:Homo sapiens chromosome 10, GRCh38 reference primary assembly.
GCCAGGCAUGGUGGUGGGUGCCUAUAAUCCCAGCUACUCAGGAGGCUGAGGCAGAAGAAUUGCUUGAACCCAGGAGGCGGAGGUUGCAGUGAGCCAAGAUGGUGCCACUGCACUCCAGCCUGGGUGACAGAGCAAGACUCUGUCUCAA